UUGUCUCUCUACAUAGCCCUGGCUGUCCUGUAACUCACUGUUACGCACUGGGCCUACUGGGACUGGAAUUAUAGGCCAAGUCUGUAACUCUCAGAGAUCCACCUGCCUUGGCCUCCUAAAUACUGGGAUUAUAGGCACCGGACACCACACCCCCUUUAGUCAACAAACCUUUCCUCUGGUUUCUAACAAGUCUGCUCCUGCCUCCAAGUUCCUGCCCUGUUUGAGUUCCUGCCUUGACUUCCUUCAGUGAUGGACAGUGAUGUAAAAGCACAAGCCAACAACUCUUUCAUCUCCAAAAUGCUUUUGGUCAUGGUGUUUCAUCACAGCAAGAGAAAUCCUAAUUAGGACAACUAGGAUUGAAGGCAUGCCUGAUUUCAGGUUCCCUCAUGUAUAUGUUUUAAAAUCAUUUAGCUGUGACCCUCCUGGCUGGCAACCCCCACUCUUCCCCUGGCGUUAUCUCCGGCCUAUUCAAGCUGUGACAUUCCUGGCCUACAGCCUCCACUUUUCCCCUGGCGUUAUCUCCGGCCCUUGUUCCGUUGGGAACAAUACAGCCACUUUCACCUUAACUACCAGGGCCUCCUCAGCGCAGUUUCACCUGGAGACCAGCAGAAAACUGCGUGACUAGAAGCAGGCAACCCGCUGAGAAGAAGAU